rnacentral:rRNA from 1 species
CCGGGCUUAAAUUGCAACUGACUGAAUCGGAAACGGUUCUUUCUUCGGACAGUUGUGAA